rnacentral:rRNA from 1 species
GGCUGCAGUGGGGAAUAUUGGACAAUGGGCGAAAGCCUGAUCCAGCAAUGCCGCGUGAGUGAUGAAGGCCUUAGGGUUGUAAAGCUCUUUUACCAGGGAUGAUAAUGACAGUACCUGGAGAAUAAGCUCCGGCUAACUCCGUGCCAGCAGCCGCGGUAAUACGGAGGGAGCUAGCGUUGUUCGGAAUUACUGGGCGUAAAGCGUACGUAGGCGGUUAUUCAAGUCAGAGGUGAAAGCCCGGGGCUCAACCCCGGAACGGCCUUUGGAACUAGAUAGCUAGAAUCUUGGAGAGGUCAGUGGAAUUCCGAGUGUAGAGGUGAAAUUCGUAGAUAUUCGGAAGAACACCAGUGGCGAAGGCGACU